AACGAACGCUGGCGGCGUGGAUAAGACAUGCAAGUCGAACGGGAUUAAAUCUGUAGCAAUACAGGUUUAGUUUAGUGGCGAACGGGUGCGUAACACGUGGGCAAUCUGCCGAGAAGUGGGGGAUAGCUCGCCGAAAGGCGAAUUAAUACCGCAUAUGAUCAGUGAAGACAUCUUCACGACAUACAAAGCCGGGGCAACCUGGCGCUUCUUGAUGAGCCCGCGGCCUAUCAGCUAGUUGGUGAGGUAACGGCUCACCAAGGCUAUGACGGGUANCUGGUCUGAGAGGACGACCAGUCACAC
rnacentral:rRNA from 1 species